rnacentral:lncRNA from 1 species
CGUGCCACGAAGGGUGUGACACAUUCCAGCCUGGGUGGCACCCCUGUCCCUGUGUGGGGACACGACCCCCAGCAUUCAUGGGGACUGGGGACCUCACGCUCAUCCUUCCUGCCUCUAUUUCUGGGGUCAUCUUUCUCGCCUCCUGAGCGUGGCUCAUCCCCUGGCCUCUGUGCUGCUGUGGGGUCUCCCAUCCCUGCCUCUCCGACCCCCCUCUGUCUCCUUCCCAGCUCCUCCUCCUCUGCCCACCCUGUCCCUGGGGUACCUCUGGCCUCCUUUCGCCAUCUCCCUGGACACGCCAAGGACCUGCCCCUCCGCCCCCAGCGCCGACUGCGGCCUGGAGCCUUGGAUCCAGCACCUGCCUCUGGGAUGUUCCCCGGAGGCCCAGCUGAGACCCGGACCUGCCCCCCCGUCCUCCUCACUCUUCACGCAGCCGGGGGUCCAAAGGCUGCAGGACCCAAGCUCUGGAACCUUCCCACGAGCCUGCUGAGCGGGGCCCUUUGCCCCGGGGGCCCUGGCUCUGAGUUCGGGCUCCACCUCCCAGCCCCCUUCCACCACCCACGUGGCUGGCUGAGCGCCCAUCCACCUGCCCUGUGCCGCGGGCGGGGGGCUUUCAGGAGGCCCGGCUGUGCCCCAACAAUGCUGCUUUGUGCCAAGAGGGACCCAGAGCCUUGUAAAGGAGGAGCCCCUGCCACCAUCUCCCCAGUUUUGGAGGCACUUCGGGGGAGCAGGAGAUCCCAAGACGAGAUCGUGCCCCUCACCUGGUGCCCCUAAAUCCAAGGACAGAUGUCCCAUCGGAGACACACGGCGGGAAGGUGGAGGAGGCCACGUGAUGGCGGAGCAGAGGCUGGGGCCACGGGGCCACACGCCCCAGAAACCUGGACACCCCGGAGCCGGAGGGUCCGCCCCUAGAGCUUCUAGAAGGGGCGUGACGCCUGGAUUUGGGGCUUUCGUUCCCAGAAAUGUGAGAAAAUAAUUUGUCGUUAUAAGCCAACACCUUGUCGUAUGUGACGGCAGCUGGGGACCCUCGUACACCCUGUACGGGGCUCUGUGGUGCCCCCCCCCCCUUGCAGAGCGGAGAGGUGACGUUACUUUGGUGGAGACAUUUUUGUGAGUGGCCCCCAGCUGCUCCCAGGGGAAAGGCUGCCGCGGAGAAGCCUGCGUGGGUCAGAGAGGGUGACCCCUGUUCCCGGCCACACCCACCCACCGUCCCAGCCGCUGGGGCUGUGCGCGGCCUUAGCUCAGAAACGGAGCAUGUCUUGCAGGCGCCAAGGCUGGUGCCCUGUGCAGGUGGUCCCCUGAGGGAGAGCUGAGUGUCCCCUCCAUCACUGCCUGUGAGCAUGGACCCGCUGUGUGCCCAGCUUGAGAGGCACCCAGGGGCUUCGGGCCCACGCCCAGUCCAGAGCGGGUGCCCAGGGGACAGAGCCCACUCAGGGACCAGCCCCAUAACACCAGGAAGCACAGGCCGAGGAGGCCUCCCACCCAGAUUCUGGGACCUUCUGGCUCCCAGGGGGCCUGUGGGAAUCCUGUCCCUCCUCUGAGGAGCCCAGCUGCCCCCGAUGCCCGGUGGGGCCCCUUCCCCCGCCUCAGGGCCUGCGUGGUCCUUGGGGAGCUCGCAGAGGCUGGGGUUUCCAUGGCCACCAGCCUCUCCUCUGCCCAGGAUCUGCUUAUUCCUUAUUCAGCACCCAGUGGCCCCCACUGGGGGAGGCUCCGUUUCCUGCCACACUGAGGUGGUGGGGGAGGUCACGGGGCACCGGGUCCCCUUCCAACUGAG